rnacentral:rRNA from 1 species
GACGAACGCUGGCGGCGUGCUUAACACAUGCAAGUCGAACGGAAAGGCCCUGCUUUUGUGGGGUGCUCGAGUGGCGAACGGGUGAGUAACACGUGAGUAACCUGCCCAUGACUUUGGGAUAACUUCAGGAAACUGGGGCUAAUACCGGAUAGGAGCUCCUGCUGCAUGGUGGGGGUUGGAAAGUUUCGGCGGUUGGGGAUGGACUCGCGGCUUAUCAGCUUGUUGGUGGGGUAGUGGCUUACCAAGGCUUUGACGGGUAGCCGGCCUGGGCGGGUGACCGGCCACAUUGGGACUGAGAUACGGCCCAGACUCCUACGGGAGGCAGCAGUGGGGAAUAUUGCACAAUGGGCGGAAGCCUGAUGCAGCAACGCCGCGUGCGGGAUGACGGCCUUCGGGUUGUAAACCGCUUUCGCCUGUGACGAAGCGUGAGUGACGGUAAUGGGUAAAGAAGCACCGGCUAACUACGUG